rnacentral:tRNA from 1 species
GAACCCUAACCCUAAACACCUAAACCUAGAACCUUCUAAGCCCUAACCCUAACCUAAAGCCUUCUAGUCCUCG